GCAAAACGCGAAGAACCUUACCUACUCUUGACAUCCACGGAACUUUUCAGAGAUGAAUUGGUGCCUUCGGGAACCGUGAGACAGGUGCUGCAUGGCUGUCGUCAGCUCGUGUUGUGAAAUGUUGGGUUAAGUCCCGCAACGAGCGCAACCCUUAUCCUUUGUUGCCAGCGGUUAGGCCGGGAACUCAAAGGAGACUGCCAGUGAUAAACUGGAGGAAGGUGGGGAUGACGUCAAGUCAUCAUGGCCCUUACGAGUAGGGCUACACACGUGCUACAAUGGCGCAUACAGAGAGAAGCGACCUCGCGAGAGCAAGCGGACCUCAUAAAGUGCGUCGUAGUCCGGAUUGGAGUCUGCAACUCGACUCCAUGAAGUCGGAAUCGCUAGUAAUCGUAGAUCAGAAUGCUACGGUGAAUACGUUCCCGGGUCUUGUACACACCG
rnacentral:rRNA from 1 species